AUUGAACGCUGGCGGCAUGCUUUACACAUGCAAGUCGAGCGGCAGCGCGGGAGCAAUCCUGGCGGCGAGCGGCGAACGGGUGAGGAAUACAUCGGAAACGUGUCCCGUAAUGGGGGAUAGCCCGGCGAAAGCCGGAUUAAUACCGCAUAUGCUCUACGGAGGAAAGCCGGGGACCUGUAAGGGCCUGGCGUUAUGGGAGCGGCCGAUGUCCGAUUAGCUUGUUGGUGGGGUAAUGGCUUACCAAGGCGACGAUCGGUAGCUGGUCUGAGAGGAUGAUCAGCCACACUGGGACUGAGACACGGGCCCAGACUCCUACGGGGAGCAGCAGUGGGGAAUAUUGGACAAUGGGGGCAACCCUGA
rnacentral:rRNA from 1 species